UUUUCUUAAAAAAAUAUUAAAGAAAAUAAAUUUUAAUGAUUUAUUAGGUGGGAUGGCGGAAGAAACCUAAAAGCAAUCUAUUUUUUUAGAGUUGUGUCCUGUAUUAUAUCUGAAUUUUAUCGUAUCUGAAUUUGAGAAUAAAAGAAUAAACAUUUACCCGCGAGAAUUUUUCUUUUANUGUAUUUUUUUAUCUUUUUGCCAAUUCUAAGAAUUGAUAUUGAAAACAAAAUCUAAAAAUUUCGAAGAUGGUAUGAAAUCUCAAAAAAUACCGAGAUUUCGUUAUUUACUAAACAUAUGAAUAUUUAUAUUCUUUUAUCGAUUAGAUAGAAUCUAUAUCUAUAUAAAUAUAAAUAUUUGAAUUACUUCAUUCGCGAGAAGUCGUAUGAAGUGAAAAUCUCAUCUACAGAUUUAUACAUAAAUCUAUUUGAAGGCAGAGAACAUUUAAAAUAAAAGAUGAUAUUAAAAAAUAAUGAUAAAUAACCUCAUUUAAAAUUAAAAUAAUAAAAUCAGAAACCUUAUAUUAAAUAAUAAAUCUAAAUGUUAAAAAGUUCAAAUAACAUCUAGUGCUUUACGGAGCUACAAAAGCUGAGACCUUUUACUACCUCCUUAUAAAUAGAUAGUACUGUUAAUAUGAUUUUUUUCUGGGUUAAUCUAAAUCUAAAUCUUCAAAUUAUAUUCCGUGAGGCAAUUUAUGUCACCUAAUUUAGGUUGGAUUAGAUGCUGUCAUCUCUUCAAAGCCGAUUUCUUAUCAAUAUCAGAGUAAAGAAUCUCCU
rnacentral:lncRNA from 1 species